CGCACGUGAAGGUCGACGUGAACAACGAUUGACACAACCGCCAGUGCCCGUAAGAUUAUCAUUGUGUACAGUUCGGUCCAGUAAUAAUAGUCAAGAAGAAUAGCAGAAAUUAAAAAUAAUGGUCUUACUAAAUGAAAAUAAGCCAUCUACCGAAAUAGCACAAAAUGAUAUACAGACUGGCAAUAAUUCCCCUAUAUUCCUCUUAGAGGUUUAUGACAUUUAUAAUGCCAACAAUGCAGAAGCUUUUAGCAAUGACAUUAUCAUCUUUGAGGAACCACCAGACGUUGCAGCAGAAGAAGAAAUAUUUAGUCACGAUCUCACAUCAUGUUUCAACUUAGCAACAGAAUUAUUAAACCAGAGUAUCAUGCAGAAUAUUUAUCUCUUAAAAUGAACAACAUAGUUCCAGAUCAACUGGAUGAAACAGAGAUGUAAAAGAUGAAACGGAGUGAAUUUUUUUUUAAAAUGUUUAAAAGUUAAAAGUCGGUAAAUAUUUUUCUGUUAUUUUUCUGUUUUUUUUUUACUAACUUUUAUUUUGAACUAUAUAAAAGAAGUAAAUCUUAUGUUAUUUUUGUGAAUAAUUAUUUUCUUAUUUGUUUUUGAAACUAAAAAAUAACUAUUUUUAUGUACCUCUGAGUUUUGUGUUUUCUUAGUUUUUAAGUUGUUGUUCUUUGAAAGUGUUUUUUGAGUUUUAUUUUUAUACCAAUUUUUGUAUAGCUCUUCUAUUUGAGUAUUAUUUACUUUUAAGUAUUUCAUCCUAGCACCAAAAACAUGUUUAAAGAAUUUAGGGCUUAGAAUGUAUUUUUGAUUAAUAAAAAAUAAAACCUAUCAAAAAU